AUGCACGCUGGCGGCGUGCCUCAUACAUGCAAGUCGCGCGCACAGACGAGGAGCUUGCUCCUCUGACGUUAGCGGCGGACGGGUGAGUAACACGUGGAUAACCUACCUAUAAGACUGGGAUAACUUCGGGAAACCGGAGCUAAUACCGGAUAAUAUAUUGAACCGCAUGGUUCAAUAGUGAAAGACGGUUUUGCUGUCACUUAUAGAUGGAUCCGCGCCGCAUUAGCUAGUUGGUAAGGUAACGGCUUACCAAGGCAACGAUGCGUAGCCGACCUGAGAGGGUGAUCGGCCACACUGGAACUGAGACACGGUCCAGACUCCUACGGGAGGCAGCAGUAGGGAAUCUUCCGCAAUGGGCGAAAGCUUGACGGAGCAACGCCGCGUGAGUGAUGAAGGUCUUCGGAUCGUAAAACUCUGUUAUUAGGGAAGAACAAAUGUGUAAGUAACUAUGCACGUCUUGACGGUACCUAAUCAGAAAGCCACGGCUAACUACGUG
rnacentral:rRNA from 1 species